ACGAACGCUGGCGGCGUGCCUAAUACAUGCAAGUAGAACGCACAGGAUGCACCGUAGCUUACUACACCGUAUUCUGUGAGUUGCGAACGGGUGAGUAACGCGUAGGUAACCUGCCUGGUAGCGGGGGAUAACUAUUGGAAACGAUAGCUAAUACCGCAUAAGAACAUUUACUGCAUGGUAGAUGUUUAAAAGGUGCAAAAGCAUCACUACCAGAUGGACCUGCGUUGUAUUAGCUAGUUGGUGAGGUAACGGCUCACCAAGGCAACGAUACAUAGCCGACCUGAGAGGGUGAUCGGCCACACUGAGACUGAGACACGGCCCAGACUCCUACGGGAGGCAGCAGUAGGGAAUCUUCGGCAAUGGGGGGAACCCUGACCGAGCAACGCCGCGUGAGUGAAGAAGGUUUUCGGAUCGUAAAGCUCUGUUGUUAAGGAAGAACGUGUGUGAGAGUGGAAAGUUCACACAGUGACGGUACUUAACCAGAAAGGGACGGCUAACUACGUGCCAGCAGCCGCGGUAAUACGUAGGUCCCGAGCGUUGUCCGGAUUUAUUGGGCGUAAAGCGAGCGCAGGCGGUUAGAUAAGUCUGAAGUGAAAGGCAGUGGCUCAACCAUUGUAGGCUUUGGAAACUGUUUAACUUGAGUGCAGAAGGGGAGAGUGGAAUUCCAUGUGUAGCGGUGAAAUGCGUAGAUAUAUGGAGGAACACCGGUGGCGAAAGCGGCUCUCUGGUCUGUAACUGACGCUGAGGCUCGAAAGCGUGGGGAGCGAACAGGAUUAGAUACCCUGGUAGUCCACGCCGUAAACGAUGAGUGCUAGGUGUUAGGUCCUUUCCGGGACUUAGUGCCGCAGCUAACGCAUUAAGCACUCCGCCUGGGGAGUACGA
rnacentral:rRNA from 1 species